AUUGAACGCUGGCAGCAUGCUUUACACAUGCAAGUCGAACGGUAACAGGUUAAGCUGACGAGUGGCGAACGGGUGAGUAAUGCAUCGGAACGUGCCCGGUCGUGGGGGAUAACGCAGCGAAAGCUGCGCUAAUACCGCAUACGAUCUGAGGAUGAAAGCGGGGGACCGUAAGGCCUCGCGCGAUCGGAGCGGCCGAUGUCAGAUUAGGUAGUUGGCGGGGUAAAGGCUCACCAAGCCAACGAUCUGUAGCUGGUCUGAGAGGACGACCAGCCACACUGGGACUGAGACACGGCCCAGUCUCCUACGGGAGGCAGCAGUGGGGAAUUUUGGACAAUGGGCGAAAGCCUGAUCCAGCAAUGCCGCGUGCAGGAAGAAGGCCUUCGGGUUGUAAACUGCUUUUGUACGGAGCGAAAAGGUCUCCUCUAAUACAGGGGGCUCAUGACGGUACCGUAAGAAUAAGCACCGGCUAACUACGUGCCAGCAGCCGCAGUAA
rnacentral:rRNA from 1 species